CCUACGGGAGGCUGCAGUGGGGAAUAUUGCGCAAUGGGCGGAAGCCUGACGCAGCGACGCCGCGUGGGGGAUGAAGGCCUUCGGGUUGUAAACCUCUUUCACCAUCGACGAAGCUUGCCGGUGACGGUGGGUGACGGUAGGUGGGGAAGAAGCGCCGGCUAACUACGUGCCAGCAGCCGCGGUAAUACGUAGGGCGCGAGCGUUGUCCGGAUUUAUUGGGCGUAAAGAGCUCGUAGGUGGUUCGUUGCGUCUGCCGUGAAAGCCCAUGGCUUAACUGUGGGUCUGCGGUGGAUACGGGCGGACUUGAGGCAGGUAGGGGAGAAUGGAAUUCCCGGUGUAGCGGUGAAAUGCGCAGAUAUCGGGAGGAACACCGGUGGCGAAGGCGGUUCUCUGGGCCUGUUCUGACACUGAGGAGCGAAAGCGUGGGGAGCGAACAGGAU
rnacentral:rRNA from 1 species